rnacentral:tRNA from 1 species
AGCUCAGCUGGUUAGAGCAAACGGCUCAUGACUAUUCGGUCGAUGGUUCGAAUUCAUCAUGGU